CUUACUUCUGAUGACAUAAUUUCUAUGAGACUUUGGACAGCUUCUCUAACUCUCUGAGCACUGGUUUCCUCAUCAAUGAAAAAAAUAGACAAUAAGGCAUUCUUGUGAGCAUUCAAUAAGUUUAUCUAUUUAAAGAAUCUGUUAUGGUCUGGGUAUGAAUUUAGUGCUAAAUAAGUUUGGUGAAGCCAAUGUGGGGUUGGUUAGUAAUUGUGGAACCACAUCAUAAUGAUGAGAAGUUGUCUAAUUGAAACCUGGCUUGACAAGAGCAUACAAAUUUUCAAUUUGUUGAUCAAUGU
rnacentral:lncRNA from 10 species